UACGAAGGGUGCAAACGUUGCUCGGAAUUAUUGGGCGUAAAGCGCACGUAGGCGGCAUUGCAAGUCGGAUGUGAAAUCCCUCGGCUCAACCAAGGAAGUGCAUCCGAAACUGCUGUGCUUGAGUACUAAAGAGGAUCGCGGAAUUCCCGGUGUAGAGGUGAAAUUCGUAGAUAUCGGGAGGAACACCAGUGGCGAAGGCGACGAUCUGGGUAGAUACUGACGCUGAGGUGCGAAGGCGUGAGGAGCAAACACG
rnacentral:rRNA from 1 species